AAUUGGUCCCUCCCACUCACUUGGGUUCGCCCCUGGCAGCCCGCCCCGUCGUCGUCGUCAGUCCUCGAAGCCUCGCCGGCCGGCCGACCCCGAGCUGCUCCACACCGAGCUUCGGGCCGCGCCCCUGCCAAUUGCAGCGACUGCCCUAUACUCCACACAACGCCACCGACCACGCCUGCGAGCUCUGCUUUUGACAAGAAGCUAGGGGCAGGAAGAGGAUUCAGCGGAGGAGAUGGUGGGCAGGGCCAUAAACAUCAGCUCCCGCACACCACGUGUUCGAUGAAAUGCCCACAGCGCGCCGCAGCGACGUCUUCCCCUCCUCGCAGUGGCUCGCCGGUCCACGCUGCCAUUCAUAAAUGUUGACAAGUCAGCAUCUAAAAGGUUGUCCAAGAAGAACUUGAUGCUUUGGAAGCUGAUGAACUUGAUGCUUUGGAAGCUGAUUGAAGCAGGAUCUCGAUUUUGAGCUUCUUACCUGCUGCACCAAGUGGUCAUGCAGCAGUCAUGGCAAACUGGCAGCAGGUAGCUAGGAGGAUGAACUAGGACUGCCUGCAGUGCCGCACACGUCAAUUCGCAUCUAAAACUAACAAAAACAAGCUAUGGUGUAGGUUUGAUCUUGAUGUAAAUGGUCGGCGCUUUUUGUUUGUGCAUGGGCAAAUUAGUUGUAUUUUUCCUCAUAUAUCACUGCCAGUUGCUGAACAAUGAUAAAUAGAGCUGUUCUCUGUACGGCUGUACAUCUUGUUCUUAGUAUGUCUGUGAUUUCUCGCGAAAAAAGUAUUUGUGUGAUUACAGUAGGUGAGUUGAAUUUUUUGGU